rnacentral:rRNA from 1 species
AGAGUUUGAUCCUGGCUCAGAACGAACGCUGGCGGCGCGUUUUAAGCAUGCAAGUCGAACGGUAAUCAGGUGCUUGCACUUGAUGAGAGUGGCGAACGGGUGAGUAACACGUAGGUAAUCUACCUCUGGGUUUGGGGAUAGCUUAUGGAAACAUAGGGUAAUACCCGAUACGACAUACUUCGUAAGGAAGUAAGGGAAAGGCGCUAAGGUGCCGACCUGAGAUGAGCCUGCGGCUGAUUAGUUAGUUGGUGGGGUAAAGGCCUACCAAGGCGAUGAUUAGUAGCCGGCCUGAGAGGGUGAGCGGCCACACUGGGACUGAGACACGGCCCAGACUCCUACGGGAGGCAGCAGCUAAGAAUCUUCCGCAAUGGACGAAAGUCUGACGGAGCGACGCCGCGUGAAUGAAGAAGGCCGUGAGGUUGUAAAGUUCUUUUCUUGUGGAGGAAUAAUGUCAGGAGUGACUGCCUGACAGAUGACGUGAAACGAGGAAUAAGCCCCGGCUAAUUCCGUGCCAGCAGCCGCGGUAACACGGAAGGGGCAAGCGUUGUUCGGAAUUAUUGGGCGUAAAGGGCGCGUAGGCGGUUAUACAAGUCUGAUGUGAAAGACCACAGCUCAACUGUGGGAACGCGUUGGAAACUGUAUGGCUAGAGUAUAGGAGGGGAAGCUGGAAUUCCUGGUGUAGGGGUGAAAUCUGUAGAUAUCAGGAAGAACACCGGUGGCGAAGGCGAGCUUCUGGCCAUAUACUGACGCUGAGGCGCGAAAGCGUGGGGAGCGAACAGGAUUAGAUACCCUGGUAGUCCACGCCGUAAACGAUGUGCACUAGGUGUCUCUCACACUGAAUAUUCAAAAUGAAAUGAAGAUUGAUGUAGGGAAAUUACAAUGUAAUGUCCGUACAAACGGCAAUGUAAUGUCGGUACAGGAAUAUUUUGAAUAUUGAGUGUGGGGGGUGCCGAAGCAAACGCGAUAAGUGCACCGCCUGGGGAGUAUGCCCGCAAGGGUGAAACUCAAAGGAAUUGACGGGGGCCCGCACAAGCGGUGGAGCAUGUGGUUUAAUUCGAUGAUACGCGAGGAACCUUACCAGGGCUUGACAUAUACUGGAAUAGUGUAGAGAUACAUUAGCUGCUUGCAGUCGGUAUACAGGUGCUGCAUGGUUGUCGUCAGCUCGUGCUGUGAAGUGUUGGGUUAAGUCCCGCAACGAGCGCAACCCCUGCUGUCUGUUGCUAACAUUUAGUUGAGGACUCAGACGGUACUGCCGGUGACAAACCGGAGGAAGGUGGGGACGACGUCAAAUCAUCAUGGCCCUUAUGUCCUGGGCUACACACGUGCUACAAUGGUCGGUACAGAGUGAAGCGAAGCCGCGAGGUGAAGCAAAUCGCAGAAAGCCGGCCUCAGUUCGGAUUGAAGUCUGAAACUCGACUUCAUGAAGGUGGAAUCGCUAGUAAUCGCGCAUCAGCAUGGCGCGGUGAAUACGUUCCCGGGCCUUGUACACACCGCCCGUCACACCACCCGAGUUGGGGGUACCCGAAGUCGCUAGUCUAACCAGCAAUGGAGGACGGUGCCGAAGGUAUGCCUGGUAAGGGGGGUGAAGUCGUAACAAGGUA